rnacentral:rRNA from 1 species
UACAGAGGUCUCAAGCGUUGUUCGGAAUCACUGGGCUUAAAGCGUGUGUAGGCGGAAUUGUAAGUACCUUGUGAAAUCCCACGGCUCAACCGUGGAACUGCUCGGUAUACUGCUUUUCUUGAGCCACUUAGGGGCUACCGGAACAAAUGGUGGAGCGGUGAAAUGCGUAGAUAUCAUUUGGAACGCCAAUGGUGAAAACAGGUAGCUGGGAGUGUGCUGACGCUGAGACACGAAAGCCAGGGGAGCGAACGGG